GAGUUUGAUCCUGGCUCAGAGCGAACGUUAGCGGCAGGCUUAACACAUGCAAGUCGAGCGAGAAAGGGGCUUCGGCUCCGAGUAAAGCGGCGGACGGGUGCGUAACACGUGGAUAAUCUGCCUCGUGGCGGGGGACAACAGUCCGAAAGGACUGCUAAUACCGCAUGUCAGGUCGGAAACUCCGGUUUCUGACGAAAAAGAGGGCGUCCGCAAGGAGCUCUCACCACGAGAUGAGUCCGCGUCCCAUCAGCUAGUUGGCGGUGUAAUGGACCACCAAGGCUUAGACGGGUAGCUGGUCUGAGAGGAUGACCAGCCACACUGGGACUGAGACACGGCCCAGACUCCUACGGGAGGCAGCAGUGGGGAAUAUUGGACAAUGGGCGAAAGCCUGAUCCAGCCAUGCCGCGUGAGUGAUGAAGGCC
rnacentral:rRNA from 1 species